rnacentral:rRNA from 1 species
CCUACGGGAGGCAGCAGUGAGGGAUAUUGGUCAAUGGGGGAAACCCUGAACCAGCAACGCCGCGUGAGGGAAGACGGUUUUCGGAUUGUAAACCUCUGUCCUCUGUGAAGAUGAUGACGGUAGCAGAGGAGGAAGCUCCGGCUAACUACGUGCCAGCAGCCGCGGUAAUACGUAGGGAGCAAGCGUUGUCCGGAUUUACUGGGUGUAAAGGGAGCGCAGGCGGCCUGCCAAGUCUGGUGUGAAAACCCGGGGCCCAACCCCGGGCCUGCAUUGGAAACUGGCGGGCUGGAGUGUCGGAGGGGCAGGCGGAAUUCCUAGUGUAGCGGUGAAAUGCGUAGAUAUUAGGAGGAACACCGGUGGCGAAGGCGGCCUGCUGGACGAUGACUGACGCUGAGGCUCGAAAGCGUGGGGAGCAAACAGGAUUAGAUACCCCUGUAGUC